rfam:Takifugu rubripes genomic scaffold, scaffold_2227
GCUUACUGCCAUACCACCCUGAGAAUGCCUGAUCUUGGAAGUUAAGCAGGGUUAGUACUUGGAUGAGAGACUGCCUGGGAGUACCAGGUGCUGUAAGCA